GCCCAGGUGGUGGAAUGGUAGACACGUCAGCUUGAGGGGCUGAUGGCCGCAAGGCCGUAUGAGUUCGAGUCUCAUCCUGGGCACCA
rnacentral:tRNA from 1 species